rnacentral:rRNA from 1 species
AGUGAACGCUGGCGGUAGGCCUAACACAUGCAAGUCGAACGGCAGCACAGUAAGAGCUUGCUCUUACGGGUGGCGAGUGGCGGACGGGUGAGGAAUACAUCGGAAUCUACUUUUUCGUGGGGGAUAACGUAGGGAAACUGACGCUAAUACCGCAUACGACCUACGGGUGAAAGCAGGGGAGCUUCGGACCUUUGGCGAUUGAAUGAGGCGAUGUCGGAUUAGCUAGUUGGCGGGGUAAAGGCCCACCAAGGCGACGAUCCGUAGCUGGUCUGAGAGGAUGAUCAGCCACACUGGAACUGAGACACGGUCCAGACUCCUACGGGAGGCAGCAGUGGGGAAUCUUGGACAAUGGGCGCAAGCCUGAUCCAGCCAUACCGCGUGAGUGAAGAAGGCCUUCGGGUUGUAAAGCCCUUUUGUUGGGAAAGAAAAGCAGCAGGUUAAUACCCCGCUGUUCUGACGGUACCCAAAGAAUAAGCACCGGCUAACUUCGUG